GGUCUAUAGGGUCCAUGGGGUCCCCUGUGGGCGCAGGUGCGUGCCGCUGUGGGUCGGAGCACGGGGGGUGGAGUUCGACUGGAGGCACCUGCAGAUGGGGCUGGACUCCAACAUCAGCCUGGCUCGUCACGUGGCCGCGGCCGCCCUGCUGUGGGUCUCGGGGCGCCAGGAGCUGCCCCCACGCUCGCGCCUGCCCCUGGGGGGCUCCUCCUGGCCGCAGCCUAUGAGGGCUUCCUGAGCGGGUGGGCGGGGCAGGCGCUGGGGCUGGGGCCCUGGGGGGCGCUGGGGCUGCGGGCGCUGGGCGCUGUGGGGCUGGGGCUUGGGGCCCUGCGGCUCCUGGCCCCACUCCUGCCCCCCCCCUGAAGUAAAGG